rnacentral:rRNA from 1 species
CCUUGAAAAAGGGAGUUCAAGAAGAGCUUCGAAGAAGCUUUCUUGGUGGAGGGGAGUGGCAGACGGGUGAGUAACGCGUGGGAACAUACCCUUAUCUUCGGAACAACUCCGGGAAACUGGAGCUAAUACCGAAUGUGCCCUUAGGGGGAAAGAUUUAUCGGAUAAGGAUUGGCCCGCGUUGGAUUAGCUAGUUGGUGGGGUAAAGGCCUCCCAAGGCGACGAUCCAUGGCUGGUCUGAGUGGAUGAUCAGCCACAUUGGGACUGAGACACGGCCCAACCUCCUACGGGAGGCAGCAGUGGGGAAUAUUGGACAAUGGGCGCAAGCCUGAUCCAGCCAUGCCGCGUGAGUGAUGAAGGCCUUAGGGUUGUAAAGCUCUUUCAGUAGGGAAGAUAAUGACGGUACCUACAGAAGAAGCCCCGGCUAACUUCGUGCCAGCCGCCGCAGUAA